GAAGCCCGCCAGACCAUCGCUGGUGCAAUCUGGGAAACCAGGCACUGGAGGAACGUCCGGACUGCAUAGGGCAGCGUAGCAGUUAACGACUGUCCACUGACAAGCUGUGUACGCAAGUGCAUGGCCCUAAGGUGAGGAUUAGAGCAACAGAGACGAGCCGCUUUAGUGCGGGUGAAACGGGCAAUCUCUACGCGCAGCAAUACCAAGUAGGCCAACGUUGACGGGGCCCCCGGAGUUGGCGGGUAGGUAGCAUCGAGCCGUUUGGGUGACCAGCGGCCCAGAGUAAUGGUGGUCACAUGGGGGGAAACCCCCAUGCACAGAAUCCGGCUUAUCGGUGGGCUUCACAC
rnacentral:RNase_P_RNA from 1 species